CGGGAGGGGCCACAAGAGUGAGAGGCCCGCGUACCGCAAAAAAAAAAAAAAUGUAGUUAGACAUAGAUAUAGAUUAUUUCCAAGAAAUAACAGGGACAUGAAGGGUGGCUUAAUGCGAGCAUAGUUUUAGAGAAAAAGAUAAAAAUGUUUGAGAAUGGGAAAACAAGGGUGGGGGGUUGAGCAGCAUUCAAGAGAAUAGUAAUUUCAUCAUUAUCUAUGGACACUAUUCAACUUUUAAGUUUUUGCGCACAUGUUUGAUAAGAAUAGUAAACAGUAAAAAUAAGCAAAUUCGGCAUAGGACAUGUGGACAAAGAAUAUAAAUAAUCUUUUUUAAAAUUCUUUAAAGAGAAGGAAAGAUAGCACAACAGUAGUAAGAAAAGUGUAGGAUCAUGGAAAGUUUUCUAUUUUAUUAUCUUAAGUAGGACAUAUUUGAGUAUAUUUGUAGGUUGGAAAGAAGAGUGAGAAGGAGAGAGAGGAUCAAAACACAGAUAACAGAGAAAAUUAAGGGAGGCGAUGCAGGGAGGUAACAGGGUCCACAGUGCAGGUUAAAGACUGAUUUCAGGGACAAGUUCUUCUCUUCUCUGAACUGCAAGAGUGGAACACUGAUGGAGUUAUGCCUGGUGGCUCUCAUUUUCUCAGAAAAGGAGAACCAAGGUCACCAUCAUUGAUGCCAAUGAAGGAUAAGUGGGUAGGUGAGGAUGAGAAGAGUGCUAGUGAUUUGGCAUAUCCUUGUGGGUAAUCGAGGAAGCAAGCAAGCCAGAAUUGUGUAAAAGAACUUUCAAACUAGUACCUACUGUAUAGCAAAGGAAACUCUACUCAAUACUCUGUAAUGACCUACAUGGGAAAACAAUCUAAAAAAGAGUAGAUAUAUGUAUCUGUGUAACUGAUUCACUUUGCUGUACAGCAGAAACUAACACAACAUUGUAAAUCAAUUAUAUUCCAAUAAGAAUUAAUUAAAAAGAAAAGAACUUUCAAACCAAAUGGAGGCUCAUUAGAGAUUGGAGACCAUGAGCUGUAGUAACAGAGCUCUAUACAGCUGAAUGACUGGGGGUGAGGGUGGCAUUUAUCAGCUAAUUUCUAGGAAGGGUAAAUGAAUGGCUGGAUUGACACUGAUUUGCAAGGCCAUGAGAAUGCUGAGAAGACCAAAAAGUAUAAUGAAACGUUAAGUAUUUCAUCGUGGAGAGGUUGGGCUACAGAAGGAAGGAAGUAGUGGACUGAACGAAAUAAAAGGAGUUGAUAAUUAGAAGUCUUAGACAACCUGCAUAUAGGGAACAGGGGAAGGAGAAAAAUGUAGGGAUAAUUAUGGUCAGAAGUAGGAAUAUUGGAGUUUAAGAUUUCCCAACUUGUGCCAAUGUCCUGAGUGUGAUCCUGUAGAUAGUGACUCAGGGGGUGGGACAGACAUUGUUGGGGUGUAAGAAGGCAAGAAUCUCUCCACGUGGAGAAUGAAGACAACCAGGAUGGUGGCUGAUGACAGAGGAGUAGAAAGAAGAGAGUAUACCGGUACCAAAGCUUGAGGAAUGAUAAGGUGGUGUGGUUACAUGGGGGCACCACCGAGGAAGGAGGCUGCCGAGAGGUAGAAGUAUAUGGAUCUAUAGGUAAUAAAAGGCACCAAUGUCCUUCCAAACAGUUCUAAAUCUUUCCCUGUCUCUUUACUCCAAUGAAUGUGGUUACCUGGUCAUACCAGCCAAAGAAUCCAGUGUCAGUAAAAAAGCAAGUUGGAUUAGAUUAAGAAUUGCUGCAAAAGGAAAAACUAUCAUGAGAAAAACGCUGGAGGUGGUGCAACAGAAGGGAAUCCAAGUCAGCCAUAAACAGAUGAAGCCAUUGAGACCCAGGGAAGCUGAUGGCAGAGCUGCUAAGUGACAGCCAGGACAGAGCUGGACUCGAACCCAGGUCCCCAAGCCACAUCUGGACCACGGAACCACACUGUUGCCCAGGGAACAACUCAGCAGGCAGCUAAGAGGAUUCCCCCUUUGCAGCUUGCAGCCAGGAAUGAUCAACCCAUUUCCCACUCCCAACUCAUCUCCACCAAAACUUCUCCUUUGGAAUUUGUCUCCGGCAUCACUUAUCAAAAAGCUCUGCUGAAGUCUUCUUUCUCCCUGACCACUCGGAAUAUGCUUGCCUAAUAAAAUUUCAGUUGGCAGCCCA